CAGGCGUGCGGGAGGCACUAACAAAGGCUGGUGGAUUGAGUGCAUGAAUGAAAGGCACCUCCGCCAUCUCUCGCCCCUACAACCUGCAAAGGCUGUUGUCACUUUGGAGUAGGAUUCAUCUUCUCUGUGCCUCCCUUUCCCCAUCUGUGGAAUGUGAUGGAGGUGGCUCCGGUACAAGGCCACCACUGCGCUGUGCUCCCGGGCGGCUUCCUGUGGAUGUGGCGGAUGGG